rnacentral:rRNA from 1 species
GAUGAACGCUGGCGGCGUGCCUAAUACAUGCAAGUCGAGCGAACAGAUAAGGAGCUUGCUCCUUUGACGUUAGCGGCGGACGGGUGAGUAACACGUGGGUAACCUACCUAUAAGACUGGAAUGACUCCGGGAAACCGGGGCUAAUGCAGGAUAACAUGUUGAACCGCAUGGUUCUACAGUGAAAGGCGGCUUUGCUGUCACUUAUAGAUGGACCCGCGCCGUAUUAGCUAGUUGGUGAGGUAACGGCUCACCAAGGCAACGAUACGUAGCCGACCUGAGAGGGUGAUCGGCCACACUGGAACUGAGACACGGUCCAGACUCCUACGGGAGGCAGCAGUAGGGAAUCUUCCGCAAUGGGCGAAAGCCUGACGGAGCAACGCCGCGUGAGUGAUGAAGGUCUUCGGAUCGUAAAACUCUGUUAUUAGGGAAGAACAAAUGCGUAAGUAACUGUGCGCGUCUUGACGGUACCUAAUCAGAAAGCCACGGCUAACUACGUG